UACGGAGGGGGCCAGCGUUGUUCGGAAUCAUUGGGCGUAAAGGGCGCGUAGGCGGCCACGCAAGUCGGAUGUGAAAUCCCUCGGCUCAACCGAGGAACUGCACCCGAAACUGCGAGGCUCGAGUCCUGGAGAGGGUAGUGGAAUUCCCAGUGUAGCGGUGAAAUGCGUAGAUACUGGGAGGAACACCGGUGGCGAAGGCGGCUACCUGGACAGGUACUGACGCUGAGGCGCGAAAGCCAGGGGAGCAAACAGG
rnacentral:rRNA from 1 species